rnacentral:rRNA from 1 species
UUCCCAUACCGAACACGGAAGUUAAGCUCUUCAGCGCCGAUGGUAGUGGGGGGAUUCCCCCUGUGAGAGUAGGACGUUGCCGGGC